rnacentral:rRNA from 1 species
AUUGCACGCUAGCGGGAUGCUUUACACAUGCAAGUCGAACGAGUGGCGGACGGGUGAGUAAUAUAUCGGAACGUGCCCAGUCGCGGGGGAUAACUACUCGAAAGAGUGGCUAAUACCGCAUACUAUUGGAGAGGCCGAUAUCGGAUGAGGUAGUUGGUGGGGGAAAGGCUCACCAAGGCCACGAUCCGUAGCUGGUUUGAGAGGACGACCAGCCACACUGUGACUGAGACACGGCCCAGACUCCGACGGGAGGCAGGAGUGGGGAAUUUUGGACAAUGGGAGCAAGCUUGAUGCAGCCAUGCCGCGGGUAUGAGAAGGCCUUCGGGUUGUAAAGUACUUUCAGCGGGGAGUCGUUACCCGCAGAAGAAGCACCGGCUAACUCCGUGCCAGCAGCCGCGGUAAUAC